GCCGGCAGCUAGCUCUCUGCAACUCUCUUAUGUUCGCUUACUGAAGCUAAGCAGAGCUGCGCCCGGUCAAUACCUGGAUGGGAGACCACAUGGGAAAGUUAGGUAGCUGCCGGAA
ensembl:rRNA 5S_rRNA 5S ribosomal RNA